GUGCUCGCUUUGGCAGCACAUAUACUAAAAUUGGAACAACACAGAGAAGAUUAGCAUGGCCCUGCGCAAGAAUGACAUGCAAAUUCGUGAAGUGUUCCAUAUUUUU
rnacentral:snRNA from 1 species